CUGGCCUGUUGAAACUGUUUUUCGACAAACAGUUUCCUGAUAAAAGGAUUGCCUCAUGGCUCUCGACGUUCAAGAAAAAGCUCAAAUCGUUGCUGACUACCAGCAAGCUGUU
rfam:Pseudomonas sp. TW4, complete genome.